GUUCAUGCAUUGGACAUAAUUAAAAAAAUUUAGUCUGUAAACCAAUCCGCAAAAUGGUGGAUUGGGUUAAAUUUGCUUUUAAUCCGUAGAUGUAUGAAUUGGAUUUGGAUUGAAUUUCAUCAAUCCGUCGAUUGGAUUUGAUUGAAAAUUUAUAAUCCGCAAAAUAGUGGAUCGGAUAUAAAGUAAUGUCCAAUCCAUAAAAUCCGAUCCGCGAACACCCCUACCUUCAACUUCCAUGACUGCAUCACCAUCAUCUUCAUCUAAAUUGAUUACAUAGUUGUAUCACAGAAAACUUUGGAUCCGAUCCAUAUGGUCAUUUAAAGCAUAAAACCCUUUUCUAGUCGCGGUGACUUUUGCAUAUGGUCAUAUUCUGGUAUUAAAAUUCUGCCCCAUUAUUCAUUUCUUGCUUCAUAAAACUCAAUCGUGCAAAUCCUAUUGUUGGACUCCUUCUAAUCUCACGUACCACUUUUGGUAAAGUCUUAUUGAAAUUUCUCUUUGGACGAACAAUAAAUUAACAAAUAGAGAAUAAGUUUAAUUGAAAGAUAAAGUUAGUUUCUUCAAAAGAACUGAGACUUUUUACAAGAAUUUAGUUUACAUAACACUCAACAACAUUAUUUUAUUCAUAGUAAGAAUUUUAAAUAUAGUUACUUAAAUUAACUAACUUAACAAAAAUAUUAAUUCAAGAAAUCUCUGCAAGAAUCACAAUGAUACUAAUUGACUUAUUCAUAUAACAAUCUUAUUUCUUCCUAACAAUCGAUUUUGAAAGUUCAAGGUUUAUUUAGGAGCAAAAUUGAUCAGAUUUCGUGUCAUAGGCCUCAUAUCCCUUUUGAGGGCUUAGCAAGAAUUAGGUACAUGAAAUUUUAUUAUUUAAAUUUCUUUUUAAUCUAUGCUACUAAGAAAAUAGGUAAAAAAAAAUGAAAAAUUGAAAGUUCAGUUUAAAAAAAAAAACAAUUUUAAAGAUAAUGUUGCAAUGCAUGACUUGUAUCUCAGUUGCCGAAUGAUGUAACGUGAUCAAAAUUAAAAAAAAAAGAAAAUUUUGAAUUCUGAUUGGUGGCGUGAUUGGCGGAGAAUUGAGUGGGCCCCGACUGAGACGGGAAUGAAUGAAUGAAUCAUUGUUCAUACUACCGUCAUGUGAUGGUGCCAAGACCCGCCCAUUGCGGAUUGCAGCUUUCACAUGUCACAUUGUCCACAAACUUGCUGUGCUUGGGCCUUUCUUUUUUUUCAUUUAGCAUCUGGUGGGCCUGGUUAAUUCUGCUCCACUGAUUUUUUUUAUUACGACCAUCUUAUUAUUUUGAAUUAUUACUAAGAUUUAUUUAAUAAAUUCCAAUUAUUAAUCUUUUUUUUUGUUUGCCGUCAAUUAUGGGAGAAAAAAUGGAAUUUCGUUGGCUAAAAUUCAGUGAAAGAUAGCUUCCUACUGUCAACAAGUGAUUUAGAUUUUUAGAAAGGAUAAUGUCAUCCUUAACGGAAUUGGUCGUCUUUUGAUGAAAUUAAAUUUCUGCCCUGUGACUUUCUUUGAAAAUAUUACAAUGAUGUUC
rnacentral:lncRNA from 1 species